ACUGGACAGGGCAGCUGCUGGGCUGCUACUCUCGCCGCCGCCAUGAUUCCCCCCGCAGACUCUUUGCUCAAGUACGACACCCCGGUGCUGGUGAGCCGGAACACGGAGAAACGGAGCCCUAAGGCUCGGCUACUGAAAGUCAGCCCCCAGCAGCCUGGACCUUCAGGUUCAGCCCCACAGCUACCCAAGACCAAGCUCCCCUCAACUCCCUGUGUCCCAGAUCCUACAAAGCAGGCAGAAGAAAUCUUGAAUGCCAUACUACCCCCAAGGUAAGAAAGUAGGAGCAGUGGCUGGGAGAAGGCCUAAACUUUUGCAUCGUGGAUUUUGGGAGUGUGGGAGGAGGCACUCUGCCUCUGUUCCUGGCUGGGGAUUCCUCCCAGUAUCACAGAGCUCCUAGAACUUACAUAUGGCUGGAUCCUCGCAGGGUGGUGGGAGACCUCUUCUCAAUCUACCCUCAUUUCCUGCAUGCUGUCACCCAAUCUCAUGGCUUUAGAUACCACCUAUGUGCUGAUGGUUCCCAAAUGUGUAUUUCCAGCCCUGUCUUCUCCACUAAACUCCAGGACCAUAUAGUCUUCUACUUCCUCAUCAUCUUCAUGAAGAUAUCUAACAGACAUCUCAAACUCAAUAUGUCCAAACUAAGUUGCAAUUUCUUCCUUCCCCAAUCUGUUCAUCCCCCGUAUUCUCCUUUUUACUGGGGACUCAAACCACCUUU
rnacentral:sRNA from 1 species